CUGCAACCCAGUACCCCUAUGGGCCUUGGACCAGGCCUGACAACCUGGGGAGUUGCCAGCCUAGGGCUUCCCUGCUCCUCUUGCCUUUCUCCAGCCCUACCUCAUUCCCAGUGCUCUUUCUACAGACAACCAGGCCCUGCUCCCUUCAAGACUAGAGAAAAAGACCUUGUCCUACUGGCCCACUGCCCUCUUAUAAGGGCCAGCUGGGCCCUGAUUACCCAGGCUACAGCUGUGGCUGCUUUCCCCAUCAGCCCAGCUGUUGUUUAUCCCUUUCAUAGAUAUCAAGGUCAGAAGGGACCAUUAUGCUCAUUUAGUCUGACCUGCACAAUGCAGGCUACAGAAUCUCACUCACCCACUCCUGUGAAAAACCUCUCACCUCUUUUAGAAGGACUGAUUGCAAAGGAGAUACCUGGGAUGACUCUUUUUGCUAAUCUAGGUGAUAUUAUUGUUUUGCCUCCUGAUUUAUAGGAAACACAGAGAAUUCCCUGAGCCAUGCACAGUGGGAGCACAUGCUGCUUCAGAGCUUCCUGUAUAAGGCGCUAGGAAUGUCCUUAGCAGCUUGUGAGGACCUGGUCCAUGUGAAAUCACAGAUUCAUACACUUCUGACAACAACAGAUUAUAUGGAAGCCCCUGAGAGACAGGGAGUCAUUUCCAUCCUCACAGGCUGUGCUGAGAGCCACUUGGACCUCGUCUUGAAUGCACUUCAGGAGUUUGGGGCUGCAAUGAGCAAGGUUAAGAUUUCUGGGUUCAUCAGCCACCUGAAGUUGUCUAGGACUACUGCCAUGGGACAAGAGGCAAGACUCGCAGCACCCUGAUGCUGACAUACAGCAACGUGGCUGUCCAUGCUCCAAAAGAGCAGCUUCUCUCCCGAGUAGAGGUAGACAUCACAGGGAACGUCCUUCACCGUUACAGAACCAGUUGUCAGGUGUCUGACUGCUGGUACUGACUCUCCUCUCAGUGCAACCUCGCCACAUCACUUUGCCAUUCAAUUCUGCCCUGUCUAACUGAGACUCUCAUUUAGCCAUUGUCAAAAAAGUUGAUCACAGUUGAACCAAACGGAUACCUUCCAGGAGUUCACAAAUGCAAAUAUUCCGAGGAUGGCCCCUGAUCUUGAC